rnacentral:rRNA from 1 species
UCAGGUGGCUAUAGCGCCGGGGCUCCACCUCUUCCCAUUCCGAACAGAGAAGUUAAGCCCGGCCGCGCCGAUGGUACUGCGUAACAGUGGGAGAGUAGGUAGCCGCCACUU